rnacentral:rRNA from 1 species
GUGCCAGCAGCCGCGGUAAUACGUAGGCAGCGAGCGUUGUUCGGAGUUACUGGGCGUAAAGAGUGCGUAGGCGGUUUUCUAAGUUUGGUGUGAAAUCUCCCGGCUUAACUGGGAGGGUGCGCCGAAGACUGGAAGGCUUGAGUAUGGGAGAGGUAAGCGGAAUUCCUGGUGUAGCGGUGAAAUGCGUAGAUAUCAGGAGGAACACCUGCGGUGUAGACGGCUUACUGGACCAUCACUGACGCUGAGGCACGAAAGCGUGGGUAGCAAACAGGAUUAGAUACCCUGGUAGUCCACGCCCUAAACGAUGCAUACUUGGUGUGGGUAGUUCAUUCUAUCCGUGCCGGAGCUAACGCGUUAAGUAUGCCGCCUGGGGAGUACGGUCGCAAGGCUGAAACUCAAAUGAAUUGGCGGG